CUCAUCAAAAUCACUCAUUCUCUUCAUACAACUCCCAAACUCUCCCUCUCCACACUAAACCACAAAUGGGCGACCGUGGCAGGGACGAGAGAGACCGCGACCGUAACCGCGACCGCGACCGUAGAAGAGAACUAGACGAUCGAGAUCGCCACCGCGACCGCCGCUCUCGCCACGCGCGUUCUCGCUCUCGCUCUCCAGACCGCCGUCGCCGGUCCAGGUCGGAAACCGGUUCACCUUCCCGGUCCAGAUCACGUUCCGUAGACCGGUCUCGCCGCCACCACAACCACCACUCAAGGAGGAGAGAGAGAGACGAAUACGACGACGGCUACGACUACGACGACAAAAACAGUGAGCGCAAAGUUGUAUCUGAUUUCGUAGACGGAAUUGCUAAAGAACAGAAGAAGAAGAAGCAUAAUAAUAAAGGUGAGAAAAAAGAUGAGAGAGAUAAGAAUAGUAAUUUGAAUGGUGAAGAAGGUGGUGAAGAUGAUGAAAUUGAGAUGAUGAAGAAAUUAGGGAUUCCUGUAGGAUUUGAUUCUACUAAAGGAAAACCUGUUCCUGGUGCUGAUGUUAGUGGUAUUAGAGCUGUUACUAAACGUCAACCUAGACAGUAUAUGAAUCGUCGCGGCGGCUUUAAUCGUCCUUUGCCUGCUGAGCUUAAUCGUUAAUUCAUUUCUUCUCCAAGUUACAUUCAGAAUUUCAGAUUGAAUGAAGCCUCUGUAGCUUGUCUUGUGCACUUUGUAGAGUUUAUAUUUUUUUGAAGAUUGCAACUUCAGAAUGAAAGGACUUUCGAAAACUAGUAAGAAACUUCAUAUUCCAGGUGGUCGUAAACCAUUCGUCCGUCUUUCGAGAUUCUUGACAUCAGCAGUAGCAGUUUAGCAAAGAUUGGAUGGAUUGUCAUCAACACUGAAAGUUUCAUUAGUUAAAUGCCAAGAGAAAUCACCUUGCAAGUGCUCUUAAGUUCUCUUUGGAUAUCUUGUAGCAAAUUAGCAGUAGAGGUUGAUACUGAUGUAAUCUUUAAUCUUUAUGCUCCAUCAUGCAUGUUUAAAGCUUGUAUAACACAUAUUCUACUCAAGAAAAAACCUUCUCAAAUCACAAGUUUUUGAAAA